rnacentral:rRNA from 1 species
UACAGAGGGUGCGAACGUUGUUCGGAAUUACUGGGCUUGAAGCGCGCGUAGGCGGCCCUGCAAGUGCGGUGUGAAAUCCCACGGCUUACCCGUGGAACCGCGUCGUGUACUACAGGGCUAGAGGAUGGUAGAGGAGGGCGGAACUCUUGGUGGAGCGGUGAAAUGCGUAGAGAUCAAGAGGAACACCGGUGGCGAAGGCGGCCCUCUGGUCCAUUACUGACGCUGAGGCGCGAAAGCUAGGGGAGCAAACGGGAUUAGAUACCCCGGUAGUCCUAGCUGUAAACGAUGGGCACUGACUAGAGGCUCUUCCUGUGGAGUCUCUGGUGGAACGAAAGCGAUAAGUGCCCCGCCUGGGGAGUAUAGUCGCAAGGCUGAA